rnacentral:rRNA from 1 species
AUUGAACGCUGGCGGCAUGCUUUACACAUGCAAGUCGAACGGCAGCGCGGGCUUCGGCCUGGCGGCGAGUGGCGAACGGGUGAGUAAUUCAUCGGAACGUGCCCAGUAGUGGGGGAUAGCCCAGCGAAAGCCGGAUUAAUACCGCAUACGACCUGAGGGUGAAAGCGGGGGACCCAAAGGCCUCGCGCUAUUGGAGCGGCCGAUGUCGGAUUAGCUAGUUGGUGGGGUAAAGGCUUACCAAGGCGACGAUCCGUAGCUGGUCUGAGAGGACGACCAGCCACGCUGGGAGAGAGACACGGCCCAGACUCCUACGGGGGGCAGCAGUGGAGAAUUUCGGAAAAUGGGGGCAACGCUGAUCCAGCCAUGCCGCGUGCGGGAAGAAGGCCUGCGGGUUGUAAACCGCUUUUGUUCGGGAAGAAAACCUCUGGGCUAAUACGCCGGGGGGAUGACGAUACCAGAAGAAUAAGCACCGGCUAACUACG